rnacentral:rRNA from 1 species
AUUGAACGCUGGCGGCAGGCCUAACACAUGCAAGUCGAACGAGUGGCGGACGGGUGAGUAAUGUCUGGGAAACUGCAUGAUGGAGUGGGAUAACUUCUGGAAACGGUAGCUAAUACCGCAUACCAUCAGAUGUGCCCAGAUGGGAUUAGAUUGGUGGUGGGGUAACGGCUCACCCAGGCGACGAUCACUAGCUGGUCUGAGAGGAUGACCAGCCACACUGGAACUGAGACAAGGUCCAGACUCCUACGGGAGGCAGCAGUGGGGAAUAUUGAAAAAUGGGCGCAAGCCUGAUGCAGCCAUGCCGCGUGUAUGAAGAAGGCCUUCGGGUUGUAAAGUACUUUCAGCGGGGAGGCGUUACCCGCAGAAGAAGCACCGGCUAACUCCGUGCCAGCAGCCGCGGUAAUAG